UACGCCGCAUCCCCUUAUCAAGUACCAAUAGUUGUUGGAAAGAUUUGAGACUUUUGGGAGGAUGUACGCUCUGAAUACUGGAUAAGGAAGAUGACUCGAUGACUAUAGAUUGUCAAGAGAGAAAUGAGAAGAGAGUCAAGUCCAUGUACCUGAUGGGCUGUUACUUUUUGCCCUCAGAAAUAGUAGAGGAUGUAGAUCUUUUGAUCAGAAGGGCUGAGAGAUGCUUGCUAGCCUACAUGAUAAUGAUUGAUGCCGAUGAUGCCUGCAAGGAUGAUUAUUCUGUACGGUAAACAUUAUUGCAAAGAUUGUCGGGUGUCUUGGUCUUGAGAAGACAAUGUUUGAAGCAUCAAAUUCCAAACCCUCUGUUUGGUUUAUUAGACAAUAUGGUCCCAGGGUGAACCUUCUUGUGGAUCACUCUCAAGUGAUGGAUCUGGAGUGCCUUCGAGGUUGCAACCUUUGUAAAAAUCACACCUGUUCUUGGUUUGUCCGCAGUGGAACCGGUUAUGCUAAACUGGCGCCAAAUAUAUAUAGUCCGCAGUGGAACUGUUUAUGCUUUGUAAUUGUCCUGUGCUAUUUUGUAUGUUUAGAUCAUGUUAAAUACAUUUUGCCUUUGUUCAUAUAAUUUUUACUUCUGUAUUAGUACUCUUAUUUGCUCUUAGUAACAUCUUCAUGUUUUUGCAAACCAUGUAGAUUUAAUCUGUAACAUAACCUUUUGUUUCCAUAGUUGAUUUUGAUGCUUCUUACAAAAAAAUAAUAAUGAAUGGUUGGUGCUAA